rnacentral:rRNA from 1 species
GGGAUAUUAUUAUAAGACGAGAAGACCCCMUGGAGCUUUAAACUUAGCUUCNCUCCCAUCUUUUAUAUCCUCCCAUCAACCGGAAACCUGUAAGCUCGGUUUUAGGUUGGGGCGACCACGGAGUAAAAUAAAACCUCCAUGAUAAACGAGAUUAACCUCUUAUCCAAGAAAUACACCUCUAAGAAUUAACAUAUUAAUUUUAAUGAUCCGAUUAUCGAUCAACGGACUAAGUUACCCUGGGGAUAACAGCGCAAUCUAUUUCUAGAGCUCCUAUCGACAAAUGGGUUUACGACCUCGAUGUUGGAUCAGGAUAUCCCAGUGGUGCAACAGCUACUAAUGGUUCGUUUGUUCAACGAUUAAAAUCCU